rnacentral:misc_RNA from 1 species
UCGAGUUUACAACUCCCAAACCCCUGUGAACAUACCAUUUUGUUGCCUCGGCGGUGCCUGUUCCGACAGCCCGCCGGAGGACCCCAAACCCUGAAUUUUUUUACGUCUUCUUCUGAGUACACGAUUAAAUCAAUCA